GAUCCCACGACGUUCGACAUCAUGCCCUUGAAGCGCAAGAGCGUGACCGUGUGCUGGGAGCUCAUGUACACCCGCUCGAUGUUCGAGACCCCCGACAUGGUUGCGCAGCACCGCAUUCUCGAAGAGGUGAGCGCGCUGGUCGACUCGGGGCUGCUGCGCACGACGAUGACCCGGAGCGCGGGGCCGAUCAACGCGGCCAACCUCAAGAAGCUGCACGCCCUUCUCGAAAGCG
rnacentral:misc_RNA from 1 species